rnacentral:misc_RNA from 1 species
GGAGAUUGCUGUGCAUUUAGCUUUCGAAAGUACGGCCUUCCCUUCCUUCUCAUUCGGACUUCGUCUGCUCGGCGUAGCGUGAAGCAUUAUUUGUGAGAGGAACUCUUCAAUCGAGAAAGAGUAUCGAUAGGGACAACGAACAAGUGAAGGAGCUUUGGAGUUCGACCUAGGGUUUCCCAAUCCCAGAGCUCUGCUUCUCCCUUAAUUUCCAUUGAUAAGGAGUAGAAUCAUACACUCUUUGUUUAUUACUGUUAACUAGGAAGAGAUGGGUAAUGUAUUUGUGAAGAAGCCAAAGAUCACAGAGGUGGAUCGUGCAAUUCUUUCUCUCAAGACCCAAAGGCGGAAGCUUGCACAGUAUCAACAAAAGCUUGAAGAAGUUAUUGAAGCAGAAAAGCAAGCUGCUAAAGAUUUGAUUCUUCAAAAGAGAAAGGAUAGGGCAUUGCUAGCAUUGAAGAAGAAGAAAACACAAGAAGAAUUAUUGAAGCAAGUGGACACCUGGCUAAUUAAUGUUGAGCAACAAUUGGCAGAUAUUGAACUGGCCAGCAAGCAGAAAGAAGUGUUUGAGAGUUUAAAGGCAGGUGCUGAUGCAGUCAAGGCAAUACAAAGUGAGAUCAACUUAGAUGAUGUCCAGAAGCUAAUGGAUGAUAGUGCUGAAGCUAAAGCUUAUCAAGAUAUCCCGAAUUUGUGGUGGAUUUGAAGGACAUAAAUGCUAUCUUGGGGGAGAAAUUAUCAGCAGAAGAUGAAGAAGAGAUCUUAGCUGAAUUCGAGAACUUGGAAACUCAGAUCAUCAUUGAAGACAUGCGAAGAGUACCAUCUAAGGAACAUGAGGAAAAAUUGGAUCUUCCAGAUGUACCAACCAAACCACCAGCUGCUCUUGAGGCAGUUAAAGAUGAUACUGACAUUGCUUCAGCUGAAGCUUCCGCAAAAAGAAAAGUUAUGGAGGAACCGAUGCCUGCAUGAUUGGGGAAUACAGUUAAAUCCUGCAAUCGCAUGAAGCUGCUGGCCAUCCUGAAUCAUUAUCUGCCUCCAGGUGGUGUUAUCUAUACAUAUGUUUUUCAAAUUCUUCAAUUUAGUGGAAUUUUGCAAUUGUGUGCAUGUUAAUUUAGAUUUCCUGUCACAAUUAUACUAACUAGAUCUGUAUAUAUCAGUAAAAUUUAAACCAAGUAACCAUAGAGUAUAUCUUUUUAUCAUAAUUAAAUGAAUG